rnacentral:rRNA from 1 species
GACGAACGCUGGCGGCGUGCUUAACGCAUGCAAGUCGAACGGAAAGGCCCUGCUUUUGUGGGGUGCUCGAGUGGCGAACGGGUGAGUAACACGUGAGUAACCUGCCCUUGACUUUGGGAUAACUUCAGGAAACUGGGGCUAAUACCGGAUAGGAGCUCCUGCUGCAUGGUGGGGGUUGGAAAGUUUCGGCGGUUGGGGAUGGACUCGCGGCUUAUCAGCUUGUUGGUGGGGUGGUGGCUUACCAAGGCUUUGACGGGUAGCCGGCCUGAGAGGGUGACCGGGCACAAUGGGACUGAGGUACCGGCCAGACUCCUACGGGAGGCAGCAGUGGGGAAUAUUGCACAAUGGGCGGAAGCCUGAUGCAGCAACGCCGCGUGCGGGAUGACGGCCUUCGGGUUGUAAACCGCUUUCGCCUGUGACGAAGCGUGAGUGACGGUAAUGGGUAAAGAAGCACCGGCUAACUACGUG